rnacentral:lncRNA from 1 species
CAGAAUAGCUUAUUUUAUCUUCUUGCUGUGUGCAGCAGCAAUGUCUGUCAUGGUGCUUUCCCAGUAGCCACAAAUUAAAGCAUGCCACUUAAGCAGAGUGAUCGUGUGAGUGUCACCCUCAGCACCUGAGGCUCAACCUGGUGUUUCUUCUCUGGCUGUUAGAGGACCCGAGGUUAUUACUGACAAGGUAGCUCAGACAAUAAAUAGAUACGAAUGUACCUUUUUCUACAUGCAACGAGAAAUUUUGAAAGGACCUAAACCACAGCUGAAGACAAAAGCAGGCUAAUGUAAUGAAUGGGAAAGAACCGUGAACAGCUCUGGGACUUGUGUGUAGAUUAUCUGUCUGGCAGGAUAUUCACUGGUCCUUUUGGUUUGUUUUCCUAUUAACUAAAGGCAAAGCUGAACAAUUACUUCCCUGCGUGUUGCUCUGUGCCUGCAUCGCGCUCCUGUCCCCACUGCACUCCCCUGGUGCUGGCAGCACGGGUGGUUAAUAUUAGCCACAUAGCUGAUUGUCCCGGUUGGUGCCCUGCAACAGCUGCGGGACGGCCGCCCGUGCUGGAAUCCCGCCCGGACCGAUGCUGGUGCUGGCACAAGCCCUUCCCAUUAUAUCAGGAAGGACCAUGUCCCGUUGCCACGAUGCGCCGGCACCCCAGGCUGGCCCCAGCUGUCUGCGGGACGUGGAGCAGGACGACAAGCACCCAGGGAGGCUGCUGCAGGAAGAAGCACACUGUGAUUGCUCUGAAGUGGGAAGACGGGAGGUUCCUGGAUGGGACUUACAGCUGUCUCUAUGAGGUGACUGUCACCCUACAGGGAGAGAGGCCAUUUCCAAGGAAGAAGGACAGACUCCUACAUGCAGGCAAGAGUACCUUUGCUCAUUCAGAGACAUUUGCUAAGUGGACAGAGUUCCCCAGAAUUUAUUUAAUUUUCAUGAGCAUUCACGAAAACUAAAACAGAUUUUAAAUGCAUCAAAGCUGCUAUUUGCUAUUAGCCCAAA